AGCUCUGGUGGCCUAGUGGUUAGAGCAUCUGUCUUGGAUGUGAGAGGUUGUGGGUUCAAUCCCCUGCUGAGUCA